rnacentral:lncRNA from 1 species
CAAGACCAUCUUCUCUGAUAAAACUUUUCUCGAACAAAGUUUGACGACCAUCACAUGUAACCUUUCUUUCAUUUGAUACAAAUGCAUGUUGGUUAACCACUUUAGGUAUGAAUUUCGUUUGUUUAGACCGAUUGUUUCAUGUUCUUGUCCUCCAUAGAUGCAUUCUGCUUUCUCUCUCACUAGUGACAAUACUUUAUUUCGAC